AACAAAUGGAAAUGUCAGUGAAAGUUCGGGGCGUUUCUCACUUAGCUCAGCUGGUGCUACCCUACUGAAGUGCACUAAAAUUCUCUGGUUCUCUGUGGAUCAUCCUUCUGGAGUUUUUGGUCUAAAAAUAGCCUUUGGGGCCUGAAUUACCCAACUUGAACUUGUUCGUAAAUCUCAAGCGCAGGAGAGCAGUGUUUACUCGUGGGCCCUUGGGCUUGCCUAGGAGACACAACUGGAGUAUUUGUGGGACUGCUGCCUUUUAAACAUUUAUUAGUUUAACAAAGAUUUAUUAAGCACCUGCUCUGGAAAAGGUGCUGUUCUAGAUAGUGGGGAUUCACUGGUGAACCAAAUAGUAAAAAAAAAAAAAGGAAAAGAUCUCUGCCCUCAUGGCAUAUACCUUCCAGUGGACCAAUUUAGAAAUGUUUUAUGGCAAAUUCAGUAAUUGCAUUACUUUGCAGUAUUUUUAGAAAUCUCUACUUUAAUAUUGGGUAUCUCAACCCAAAUAACAAGGAAGCAUGGCAAAACUUAUUAAACCACUAGUGAAAAUAUCCCAUUUGUUAUAUCUAUCUAUCUAUCUAUCUAUCUAUCUAUCUAUCUAUCUAUUUUUCAUAGUAAGGCAGUUUUUGAAGAGACUUAGAGAUUCUGUCUUUAUAUAUGUAUAUAUACACACACACACACACACACACCCCGAGUUUAGAGUUUUAUGUAACUGAAUAUUAUAGCACUAGUUUUCUUUAAAUUCCUCUUUAUGGUUCAGCAUUAUGACCUUUCAUAACCUGUAGAAUCAGGUCCUGGUUGUUUUUUCCUGGGGAAGAGAAAAAUGGUUUACAAAUGACGCAUUUUAUUGUAAAACGCAUUUUAAGCCUUUCCAAGUGAAGAGAUUGCCACAGCUUAUAUUUGGAAUGUAUAUUUUUAAUACUAUUUAAAUGAUUUUUAAAUUUUUCUUACUGUUUUUUGUUAUAAAAUUUCUAGUGGAUUAGGAUGGUUUAUACUGUCCCAAAAAUGUGGUAAAGCCAGUGCAUGGUGCACAGUAGGUGUGCAAUCUAGAUUUGGUGAAUAUUUAAAGUCGUAACUGUCAAGAAGCUUACAGUCUAACUGGUGAAAACAGAGACAUUUUGACCCACUGUAAGAUGGGGCGGUCGUCAGAGCCGAGUGAGGGUGAAGUCCUGGCUAGUCUUUGCUUCAGUAGCCACAUCCCUCAAUCUGUGCACCCUUAGGUGCUUCCUCAGCUUUUGAAGAUGUCCUCCGGGAAGCCCAGCAAUCACGAGCGCUUCUUGCAGCCAUGGUCGGGGCUCCCAGGGUGCUGCGCAUGACGUUUGUUUUUUCAACACGUGAAUCUUGGAGCCAUCUUGGGGUACUUUUGCCCACGGUUGGACAGGGAAGUUUACAGUUGAACCGGGAUUCCUCUGUAGAGGAGUUUUCUUUGGGUGUGUUUUGUUCUGGUGCUCUGAGAAGGCAUGCUGUGUGAAGGCGGUCACUGCUCAUGGGUGUGGCUUUGAGAAAGAGUUGUUUCUUGGUGGGCCUGCUUGGAUAAAUUCGGCAUAAACAGGGAGUGUAUUCCUUUCCUCCAUUACAGAUCCUUGCUCUAUGAAGGCAAAGAAAAAUGAAGGAAGGAGCAAAGGCUGAAGUGAAUCCUUUCCUCUCAUUUGAAGCAAGUGAUGAAAUGUGUGUUUGCCACUCAGCAGUUGCCCCAUGGCACAGUCCUGGUGGCUGGCCCCAACCCAUGGCAGAUAGGUCAUGGGAAGUUCAGCUUCUAACUAGCCAUCAACCAUUAUCAAACUUUAUUUUUCUUUCUUCUCCCGAUGCUUACAUUUUGAAGAAUCCUUGUUUCUCUUAGCAAGGGAAAGAUCCUGAGUUAUGAACAUUCAAUUUCUUUUCCUGUCAUUCAAUUUCUUUGCCAUGUGUGAAAGUUUAUGUUGGGAGAAAUAUAGUCUUUUUGGGUAAAAUGAGGAUUUCAAAUAUCUUUUGUGCCCUGGUUGUGAGGAUGUGCUCAUUAGAGCCCACACCAGGGCUGCAGACGGCACCACAACGGCCGGUGGUAAGCCAUGACCCCACUAGUUUAUUGCUUGCCUCAUUAUUGGCUUUCAAAAGGGUUCAGGCUAAGUGGCUGUACGUCUGUUAUAUUUCAUUGUUUCUUCAUCUGUAAAAAUGAAGCAUUGUUUAUAACACUGCCCUACCUCCUGAGAACAGAACAGGAUAACACAAGAGAAUUGGAGAAAGGGCUAUUUUUAGGAUGUGAAGGAACGCUAAGUUUUGAGAAUAAGUUAAUUGUUGAAAAACAUCUGAUAGACAGCAAUACGUUUGUGACAGAGGAUUGGAAGAGUGUUCAGAUAAUUGACUGCUAUUGAUGCAGUUUAUUACAGGCAUAUGUAAUUGUUUUCACAAAGAUAAUGGUCAGUAGCUCCACAGCUUAUUACGAUAUCCCCUGGUGCUUUUAAAUUUUGCGCAGGUCACUGAUGUGCGUGUGUAACAAAAUUUUGAGAUGGUUAAACCCAUAUUCAAGCAGAAGAAAAGGAAUCCACAGACAUUUGUUUUUGAACUGUCAUCAGUUUACUUGUUCAAAUGACCUGAGUAAUAUUGGUGAUGAACUUGGUGCCCAGAUUUAAUCAAGUGUAGCUUUUAAAAUGGGCUGAGUGGCUGAGAAGAGUCGAAAUGACCUUUUAAAAGAAAUCACCUGACAGUAUAGAAUAUAGCAAAUAAUUGGACACUAAGUGUGGAGAUUAGAUUUUCUAAUGGACAAACUCCACAUUUGUUCAGUCAUCACGUGCUUUUUGGCCAUGUUUGGUAGGAGUUUGCUUGUGUUAAACCUAAUGAUGUCUGAAAAUAGUUAUGAUGGAUAUUAAUAGCUGAUCUGGAAAAUUUUACGUUUUAGCUAAUAAUCCCAGGAAUUUAUAUGGUGAGGAAAUUGUCCUGAUAAUUAGUCUUUCUCUUCCUAUAUUCUUAUGGGUGAUAUAGGAUGGGAGCAAUGAGAAGCAAACAGAAGAUAUUUUGAAGUUAAUAACAAAGUUGCCCUGGCUUAGAAGUCUGUUCUGAUUAUAUUAACACUUCUAGCUGUAAAAGCAAAGAAUGCCUAAGUGUCCCUAACAUUUGUGAUCUCCUUUAAGCCAACUGGUUUUGGUUUAAAUUUCAUAAGGAAUUUUUACAUUAUGCCGCUACUGUUCUUAUGUCUAACAUGUAAGUAUUUCUAAAAAAUGAGUCAGGGAGAGGGGGAGAGGUGCAGAAAGGGAUUCUGAGGGUCUUUUGGAAUAUGCGAAUAGCCUGCUUCCUUUCUCAGUGUGACCUUUCCCGUGGCCUUUUUCCAGAAGGGUCGGCUCUUGGUUUUGAGCAGCUGCAUCUUCAGUAGCAGUUUAGCCUUUUGUGAGGAGUUUUACUUCUUUCUGUCACUUUGAUCCAAUUUGUGGUACUGCAGUGACGGCUUAUUUAGGGCGUCUCUUAAAGUGUCUCAUUUAAAUGAGGCUGAUUAAUUUGCUCAAGUGUAGGAUCUGAUGCAUUGAUUUGUCAGAUGGUGACAGGACACUUUGCAAUGUGAAGCCUUUCACAGAAUUUCAGGCUUAGAUAAAACUACCCGAGGCAUCAUUUAAUCCCCAGCUGAGUGAGGAGAAAUCACUCAGGACGACUCGCCGAGGAUCGCCUGCAUCCAGUUUCUCUUUAAACACCUCUUCUUUCUUAGGGAGACCUGUUCCACUCUGAGACUCGUCCUCUCCAGAACCGGUUUGCUCGCUGACUUGCAUGGCAAUCCUACAAUUAUUUAAAGAUGGCUGUCAUCUUCACCUUCAGCAGUGUUUUCUCCAGGCUAAAGAUUCUUAGUUCCUUCAACGAGGCCUCUUAUUAUGUAGUUUUCACUUUUAUUUUAUUAAUUUAUUUAGGGAUAAGGCUGUUCCUAUCUGAAAUUUACUCCAGGCUAUUGUUUGUUAUGAAUCCUCAAAAAUAAAUUGCUUAUCUCCAGUUACUCUUCAGAAUAUAGACCCUUGCCAACUGGUUUAGAGAAGUUUUACGGAGAAGGCCUUAGACAUGCUUGCUGAGACUUUUACAGCUGUAACAGAGUUGGAAUAAUAAUAUGAUACAAAUCUAUUUUAGCAAAUAUAAUUGUUGAGAUUCUGGCAUGUAUAAGAUAUAUAGGAACAUAAAAUAGAGAUAGAAUAUAAAAUAUAAAGAGGAGUUUUUCACUCUUCUCAUCAUCAAAACUUUUCUAAUCUACCAUAUUGAGGAAAAGAGCUAUGCAAAGGAAGCUAUAAUGAAAAGAAACAGGUUGAGUACCGUAGGAGAGGCAUAUAUGAACUAUUAAGGUGCAAAGUCCCUGCUGGCUGAGGAGAUCCCGAGAAAUUUCAUUGGAGAAGGAGAUGCUUUCGACGGGUCUUGGUUUUGAGAGGUACCAAUGUGGGAAAGAGUCAAGAGUAUUCUCAGAGAAGCAUCUGAUUUGAGGGCAACAUAAAAUGCAUAUUAAGUGAAUGUUGUUGAAAAAGGUAGAAUGGUUGGGAUAUAUUGUCUAAGGACCUGUAUUCCAGCUUAAAGAGUUUGUACCUAAGAUGAUAAGUAACUGUGGACGUAUGUACUGUAAAACAUCCGGAGUUUGGUUCCUGAUUUUGGCAGUUCCAUAAGUUUAUAAACACAGUUAAGUGAAAUGAAACAGAAAAAGGAUAUGUGGAAAUUUCUAUGUAGAAAAUUCUAUGUCAUUUAUAAAUAGUAUGAAGUAUGUAUAUUUUGCAUAUGAGACACAUUGGCUUUGAAUUAGCAUAUUAUUAUUACUUUCUUUGUCCCAGAAGCCCAGCAGUCUCAAGGAUGAUGACUUUAACCAUAAAGUCAACAUAAAUGUAUUGCUGUUGGAGGUCUUGUCGUAUUCAUAAAUGAUAUGCCAUACUGACACGAAGUUUAGCUCAAAUGGUUGCCAUUGGAGAAUAAAGUAAAUUAAGCUUUUCUUCAAUUUGUAUUUUCUGUUAAUUAAACAUGGAGAUGCGGACUGCUGGGAAGUACUUCUGUGCAGACGUGUUCAUUGUAGGAAUAUCGCCUAUGUAGACCUGAGAGUAGACAGUGAGUUUUGGUGCAUCUUCAUAACAAUUUUGAAAAAUAUUCUUAUUUUAGAUCUAGACUGCCUUUAGGAUCUAAGAGAAAACUGCCUUGUUUUAAUUUGCCUACACAGAUCGCUUAUUAAUCUACAUAAUGAAUAGUAAAGGAGGUAAAUGCCUAAAUGGGCACUCAUUUCAUAGAACAAGUGGACCUAUGUGCAGAAGCAAUAUAUUAGACAAUAACUGAGAGUUAAUAAUUCUAUAUUAGUAAAACAAAAGUUAUCAUUUCCUGAGCAGGGACUUUGACCUUGGAAAUCUUCUUUAACCACUGUGGAAGGUGUCUUAUUUUAGAUUUAGCUCCAGUCCCAGUUUUAGUCUCUGAAGAAGUACACAGAACUUUGUGAGAGACUGGGAGAGAAUAAAAAAUACUGUAUUGUAAUAAAAUAACUGAUGCAGUUCAUGAAUUUUUAAUUACACUUUAAAGCAUGUGAGAACCGUGAUGUUUCAAUAACAAUUGAUUAUAGGCCAUCUGAGCACUUACUAUUAUUUAGGCUUUAUUGAGAGCCUAUUCUGAAAUAUUAAAUACAGAUGAAGGCUGAAGGGGGGUGUGCUCUUAAAUACUUGAGGACCACGUCAGUGUGUUUCCAUCUGAAGAACACACUGACCUUUCCCCAGAGCCUGACAGGUGUCAUCGUCUGGAGGAGGGAGUGAGCAGUCCUUGUGCUACCUGUGGGUCCUGGGACUGUCUUAGUGAUGCGUGCUGUUAUUCCGUGUAGUUACCCAUCCUGGAAGAGAUCAAGGAACUAGUAAUUUGUGCUGGGGGCCACUUGAUAAAGAGAAGGUUGUGUAAUUUUGGGGGGAGUUUGUAAGAAAAUGAAAAUCGUGGGGCUUGGAAAUCCUGAAGUAAGAACUGGGUCUUCCUGGAGCCAAAGCUUGUGAAGCAUGUAGGUAGGUAGGUUUCUUAGGAAAGGUUUAUUCAUUCGUGUGUGUGUGUGUGUGUGUGUGUUUGUGUAUGUGAUAUGGUUCUCUCUUCACUCCUGUACAUUCCUGUUCACUCAGUGAGCUAUCGGCUUCUUUGACUCUGCUUCAUAUAUUUAAUUUUGGGCUGAUUCGGGAAGUACUGGCUGUGGAGAGCAGUGCAGUCUCCAGUGUGCGGUGGAAAUGGGAUGUGGACCUGAGAAAGAAGACUCAUGACUUUGUCAUUGUGUUUGUUGGGAGCCCGUUUUCUGGAAAAACCACAAAUGAUUGGUAGAAUGCUCAUUUGAGAAGAGUAACACUCAAUAUCAGAUAUUAUGAGAGAAGAAAAACUCAGCAUGCCCUGAAUAUUGUUAGAGAUGCCAGCCUGUGGGACAAGUUGGUCUUUCCCAGCCAAGUGCUCUCGAAGACUCUGCAGAGUUUAAGAAAAUGUGGAGGCUCUGGUGGAAGAGAACGGGGACCUCAGAAACAGGGAGAUGCACCUCGGUGCUGCAGCAGUUUACUUGACUCUCCUAUUGUAACUGCACCUCUAAAUGAAACCAAUCCUGAAUUAAACAAUGAGCUUUAAAAGAAUUAACCUGCGAAAGUUCAGGUCUCAAUCCUUUUCAUUGAAUGAAAUAAUAUAUUUUAUUAGAAUUGUGCACUCCCAUAAUGUUCUUAAAAGCACAAAAUUGGAGCAUUUAGAAAUUUUCCAGCAAUUUCUAAAGAGAAAGUAUGAAAUAAGUUAUCCUGCAGAACAUCCUUUUAUCUUCACAGUUUAUUUGUUCUCUUUCACGAUGUAAAAGAUAUGCAUUUGCAAAUAGCACCAGGAACCUGAAGAAUGCAUAGUUUACUAUUAUGGUUUAUAUUUUCAAGUAUGUAUUUAUUCACAGGUUGAUUUAUUUUGUUGCCAUCAUACUGGUCUUUGUAGCCUCAGUUUAUACUGAAUUUAUGGUAAUACUGAUUCCAUUUAGUUCAUAAUUCAGAUUAUAAAAUAGGAUAAUUUUUACUCAUCUCUCUUGUGUUCUUUCCAAGUGCCAUCAUCAGCAAUUGAGUAUAAACCAGAGAGUGUGAACCUUGAGUGACAUUUUGAGGGAGCUUAGACAGUACGUGACCAGUGACUUGCAGUUUGUGGAGUGUUGAUAAUCUACCAUUGACAGAUGACUUGAGGAAUAAGGAAAAGUACAUUCUAAUCAAAAACGCAAGAAUCACUGCAGAGAUUUAAUGGGUAAAAGGAUAAUUGAUACGAAGGGAAAAAAGACAUGAAAAAAAAAUGGUGUGAGAUCACCCAGGAGACAAAACCACUGAAGUAUUUACCAGGAUUGGAUACAUAGUAAUCACUUUUACAGUCAAGAAUCCUUUGAUACAGUUUGGGAAGCUCAGGGAACUUGUUGAAAAGUUGCUGUAUUCAAGUUAAGUAAAGAAAGGGCUGGAUGUGAUUAUUUCCUAGGCUCCUCCCCGUGCUCCCAGGCAGAGGGACCCUAUACUGAGCAAGCCUAGAGCAUCCUAUGAAGUCCAGAGGAGUGGUUUUAGUUUGGAGUAAGGAGUAUGGGAUUGGGAAGGGUUUGGCCUUCCUUUUCAGCAAGAUUGGAGGAAGCCCAUCUGAGGUCCAUACUCGGUGCUAGUCCUGUAUUCUCUGAGCCUGUUUCUUGAUAAAGUGCGGAUAGGAAUAUGUGUGAAAUAAAUGGUAAACACUAAUAAACUAUGCAAGUUUAAGAUAUUAUUAUGUGAUAAAAUAUUCACUUGUGUUAUUUAGAUGUUUAGAAAAGAGGACAACAGAGAAAGUACCCAGGGGCUUGGAGCCCUUUGAGUGGAAACCAAAGUUACCUUUAAAAUUGCUGUUAGGUAGUAAAUGUCUGGCUAGGACAACUAACAUUUAUUAACUUGUAAAGUCUCAUGUACAUUUAAAAUACAUAUAAAAAAAUUUCAGGAAACUUUUUUUUUUAAAAGAUCUGAAUUUUUCCCCUUUUUCUCCCCAAAGCCCCCCAAUACCUAAUAGUUGCAUAUUGUUUGUUGUGGGUCCUUCUAGUUGUGGCAUGUGGGACGCUGCCUCAGCGUGGUUUGAUGAGCAGUGCCAUGUCCACGCCCAGGAUUCGAACCAACGAAACACUGGGCCGCCUGCAGCGGAGCGCGCGAACUUAACCACUCAGCCACAGGGCCAGCCCCUCAGGAAACUUUUAAAAGUUAACUUCUUUAUCAAGAAGGGGUAGGCCUGGAUGAUGGUGAACUUUCUGAAAGCUUCAAGAUGGCAAUUUCUUUGUAAUUCUUCAGAUUCAUUUACUUGUGUAUCCACAAGUUACAAAGCAGUGCGUAUUUUAAAUAGCACCAUACUUACAGCAGCCGCAACGUAUUUUAAAAAAAUAGACUUUAUUUUUUAGAGCAGUAUUAGGUUCACAGCAAAAUUGAGUAGAACAGAGAUUUCCUAUCUAACCCCCCACCCCCUGCCAUAGCAUAGCCUCCAGCACUAUCAAAAUGUUGCAUCAGCAUGGUACAUUUGUUCCAAUUGAUGAACCUAUAUAGACAUCAUUAUCACCCAAAGUCCAUACUUUACAUUUGGUAAAGAUCUAUUUUAUUCCAUGUUCUGAUGUGAAAUAAUGCUUAGUUGAGAUGUUAGAGAUGUUGACACAAUAUAACAUCUGUAACAUUGAUUCAUCAUGAGGACAGAAUCUAUAGUUUGUUUUGUAAUUGACAAUCUCAUUGCAAACUGAAAUUGAGCUCUUUUAGUUUAUUUAAAGGCGAGUAGACAAUACCUACGGCCUUAUUUUUAACCUUUAUUAACCUUAAGCCACUGCUUCUCUAGAAUUACACAUGGUUAUAAUCUGGUUUAUGGUUUGAAACUAAAUGGAAGGCUGGCAAUUUAGGAUAAGGGAAGCUUUAAAAAUCACCAUUAUUUUUAUAUGAAUGGGUAAUUUCCAUUUUAACACAUUCUGGCCGAAAGUUUUGAGUGCUAUUAAAGUGGAUAAGCACAAGACUGAAAGAUUCAUAAGAGACUGAUUUUUUUAUAUUAAACAUUUGAUAGGAUAAAUUAAGGGCCUAAUAAAUAAAAGGACUUUCUAUGUUGUGUAAUGAGUAUUUUAAUAUUGCAAACCUAUAGAAUAUGCUUUUAGGAACGUCUCUGGGGUGUCUCCUUGCCUUCUGUGACCUCACUGGAGCUAUGCAGUACAGACGUGUUCUUUUUCCUCCCAUCUGACCGUUACUUAAGGAAUCCACCAUUAGGAGACAGAAAACAAGAAGAAAACGUAAUUGCAACAACAUUGAGAUAAUUUUCACUUUUGGUUAUUUAAAAAUAAUCCCGGGGGGAAAAAAAGAGUCAUUUUGGGGGAAAUUACGUUAAAAAUUAAGCUAGGAAACUUGCGCAAGGAAAGUGCUUCCUCCGAGCACGUGGAAACCCACGCCUCUCCCCUGGGUCUGGGACCCGCGCGGGGACGGGGCGCGGCGCGGGCGCGGGGGCUGCGCGGGGACCGGAGGAGAGCGGCCCCGGCGCAGGGGGUCCGCCCCGCAGGACCCGGACCCAGGACCCCCGGCCCCCGCGCACGGGCUGCCCUCGGCCGGGUGGGCUGGCCCCGGGGCGGGUGCGUGCGCUGACGUCUCCGCUCGUCGCCGCUGCACAACAGGAAAUGCUCCGGGCCUCCCCCUUCCUGCCCGGAGAAAGUGGGCGCCCGGCCCUCGCGGGGGGCGGGGCGGGGAGGGCCCCGGGGCCGAGGCUGCGGGCCCCGCGGUGCCGCAGAGCGGGGCGCGGCGGCCCUGGGAGCGCGGCGCGCGCAGGUGGGCCCGCAGCCCGGCGAGUAGUGCUGAAUAAUGCUGACUCCGGAGGGCCGGCAGGCUUUUUCAUCGCCUGGCGAGGAUGCACAGGCUUUCUUUUCACAAAGCCCUGACAGGAAGCCUCUGUUUACCCUCCUUCCAACUGUCACCUUUUUACUUUGUUGUGGAAACAAAGAUAUGAAGGUUUAGAGCAGAGCUCGAACAUCAUGCCGGUCUACGCUUCGAGACAGACGCCUUGCAAGAAAAUUCUCUUCGUAUUCAUGAUUUUGAUCGUUGUUACUUAGGUAGUGAAUCUUGUUUAAAAAGCAUUAGUGAUCUUGUCAGUUUGAGAACAGUACUCUGGCCCUGGGUUUGCUAUCCGCAAAUUAUAGAUGGCUUUUUACUCUUUUUCUACAUUUUUAUUUUUUUGCUGUAGGUAGGCGUAAGAAAUUGAGGGCGAGCAAAUAAAUCCAGGCUUUUUAAUAAAAGGGGUUUUAAUGUACAUUAAUCUUUCAAGGUACGUUUUAGAAUGAUGGUUAGCAUGGAUCAUCUAUACGUAGCAACACGGAUCUUGUGUUUUAUGUACUUGCUAGUGUGAUAAAGGAGGGCAGGAUCAGCUGGCAGUCCUCGCUGGGCUGGCUUCUCUGGUUGACUCAUGAAUAGGCUUUGUAAUGGUAGAUUGUUCUUUUGGCCCCACAGCCAAAAUGCCAGAGUUCACCAGGAGGUCUGCUAAGGUUUCUUAUAUCAAAGACUUGACAAAGAAAGGAUUUAAUAGAUGAACAUAUUAUUUAGCUGUUCACAGUAAACUUAGAAAAUCAUUCUAAAUUGGAAUGUACACUGUUUACAUAUUUAUGUUAAACUGAGUCAUGAAGCUAAUCGCUGUCUGUGCUUUUAUAAUUGUUGCCUAAAUGUUUUUCCUUAAAAAAAGUCCCCACAGGAUCAUUAGAUGUAUAUAUAAGACAAUGUCCUUUCCCUUGGGACACUUUCACCUGAUUUAUGCAAAAAGGAAAUUAAAGAUUAUAUGAGUACAUUUGGAAUAAGAGCUAUAGAUUUUAAAAUUAUAUCAGUUUUAGGUAGCUUUUUCCUUUGACGGAAUAGAACAAAGAUCUUCUCUUUUAAUCAUCCAAGCCUCACUCAAGUUGUUUUCAUAGCACUCUUAGUUGGUUAUGAAAUGCCCAAAAAUAUUUGUACAGAUCUCCUCUCUGGCCCACUAAAGGAAAUAAAGUUAGAGGCUAAGAAGAGCGGGGAGCUGUGGCUCCUUGGUACUGUGCCAAGAGGCGGCAGACUCCAUCCUGUGCCCUCUGCAUCGUGCAAUGGGUGCAAGGGGCAAAUGGGGUGUUGUGAGUGAGGGUGUUUGGUACAACUGGAAAGCACUGUGCUGAUAGGAGAUCAGUUUUUUAUAUGUCUCUUUUCCUUUCUCUCCCCUGAUAGUAAAGUUAUACAGAAGGUGUAUCUGAUACAACAAGGAAAACUGUUAGUGUGGAUGUUAGUUUCAUCCUUUGUGGUGGCAUUAUAGUUGGGUUCCCUUCGACUGCGCUAUGUUUAUUUGCUCUGUAAUAAGUAAGCUUGAACUGCUUUUAAACCCAGCUUGGCCAUUUACAGCACCGGUGUUAUGAAAGUAUUUAUUUAGGAGAAUUAAUAUAAGGAUCAAUUACUCCAGAUCUGUAUUAACAAUAAUCCUCGGUUUUUAUGCAGCAUCUCGUUGUAGGUGCUAAGUAGGACCCUUGGACACAUUAAUUAAAUCUCAUAACAACCAGGAGAUUAGUGUGCUGUUUUAUGGAAACCACUGUGUGAGGAGUUCUUGGGGAUCGUACCUAGAAUUGGAAUUUUUAUAGCAGUCAUCCAGACCCAAUACCUCAUCUGUAAUUGUGGCCCAAACGUGUAAUUUGAUUCAUCCAUGAGUUCCGAAUAUAUCUACUUGGGGGGGUGUAUUCUACUUUUUAUUCUGCAGAAGAAUUUUGUGCCUCUGUAGUAAGCAAAACUACAGUUUUGAUUAGAGUGGCUAGAGGAAUAUCUUUGACUUCUUGCUAAGAAGUUUGUGCUUCUUGGAGGAAAAUCCUAGAAUAAAUGCAGUCCUCCAUUAUGUCUUGGAAUCAGAAUUUGAAAUAUCUUAACAAGUACUUUUAAAAGAAUUGGUCAUCUACUGUCCGCCUUUCCUAGUGAACUGCACAAGCCAGGGCAGAGUUUCUUGUGUCUUCACUCAGUCCCCAGUGGCUAGAACAGUGUCCCACCUGAAGCAGUGGUGGCACCCACUUCAUUUGGCGCCAAUGCCCAGGUGCCAAAUGAAGACAUUAAGAUGCUACUGCCCUCUCUCCUAUUUCACAUGCAAUUUCGUGUUCCUGGGCCAUAACUUCAGAACCCUCUUUUCGUUCAGUGAUUUGAAUUCAGCAAAUAUGAACCAUUUUUGAUUUUUCAAUGAAGUGUAAACAUAUAGUAGGUGCACAAUAGGCAUUUAGAAAGUUGAAAAAUAUUGAGAGAAGCGUGAUAUGUAUCAGUAUUGCCACCUGGGGUACUUUACUGUCUAAUCGUGUGAAACCUUCCUUUUUCGUCUAAGCAGAGUCAUUUCAAAAAAAGCUUACUGGGGCUGGCCUGGUGGCGCAGCGGCUAAGUUCGCAUGUUCCACUUCUCGGCGCCCCGGGGUUCGCUGGUUCGGAUCCCGGGUGCGGACAUGGCACCGCAUGGCAAAUGCCAUGCUGUGGUAGGCGUCCCACGUAUAAAGUAGAGGAAGAUGGGCACAAUGUUAGCUCAGGGCCAGGCUUCCUCAGCAAAAAACAGGAGGACUGGCAGUAGUUAGCACAGGGCUAGUCUUCCUCAAAAAAAAAAAAAGCUUACUGCCCUAUUGGUUUACAAAAGAAAACGUUUAUUGAAGUCUAAGAGCAGUCCACUUGAAUCGGAGUCAUUUUUACUAGCGCUUAACCUUAAGGCUCGACAUAGCAGUUUGAGAUCCAAAGAUUCUUUGAGCUCUUAAACAUAAUUUAUAUUUGAUCAUUCAUUACUUAACAGGAUCUCUGGUGCCGCAUUUGAGCCUUUCUGGAAGUGGGGAUUGUGGAUUAAAAGGCCACUGCUGUACUUCCAAGGCCCAGGACUGUGCCUGGCAUAGAAUCCAGGGCUCAAGAGGGCCAGCCUCAGGGGUGGGUGUGUGACCUGGGCAGUCCCAUGAGGCCCUGAGCUCAGAAGGGCCUCUGGGCUUGGUUCAAUGCUCUGCUGUCUUGAAAUUCUUAAUUUUUGAACAAGGGACCCUGCAUUUUUCUUUUUUGCACUGGGCUCUGCCAAUUAUCUAGCUGAUCUUGAUGCUCAAUAAAUAUUUGUGACAAAAGGAGUGACGACUAUGGAAUUUAGAAGCUUAGAUUUUACUUGUGAAAACAUUGGUUUGAUUGUGAACCUUAGUUUCCCUGUCUUUCUGAGGUGCAAAAAAAGUGGAAAACAGACUGGGUUCCAUCCAAUAGAGUAUUUCAACUAGAAUAUUAUUUUGAGGUGAAUAUGAAUGGCCUUAAAAAAAAAAAAGUCUCUCCAGAGUGUUCAGCAUCACCUCUUGGUUGGGUUGGGCUAAGUAAAAAUGCUGAUAGAAUGUGAGAUUGAAGCUACCAUAAUGGGAAAUGUAAGAAGUAGCAUCAUCUCUCUAUAUUAUUCUUCUCUUUCUAUUCUCAGUUAUAUUUCAGUUCAUGUUUAUUUAACCAUUAGCUUUUAAAUAUUUGACUGUUAAAUAUUUCUCCCUAUUAUCAGUGAUGUAAUUAUUCACUAAUUAUGGAUUUAUUGAUAAUACUCAGUGUGUUAGAUACUGGGCAGGAUUUAUAUUAUUAUGUGUUUCUUUGUACAUAAAAUAAUAGGAGAGAGCAUACACAUAGUAGUGGAAGGAACUUGCUGUGGCCAUCUGGUCUUUCCUUUGCCUUCAGAGGCAAGUCAGUCUUUUAAAAAAGAUAUAUAUUUAAGGCUCUCCUGGGAUGUAAAUUUCGUAAUUCUUCUUGUGGGCCAGUUCUGUUGCUUAAACACAUUUAUGGCUGGAAAAGGAGCAGUUUGUGUAGAGCAUGACCUGGAGUGUGGGUUUCAGAGCUGGGCUGCCCGGCUUUCUGCCUCGCCACUUUCUGGUUGUGUGACGUUGGGUGAGUUCCAGCAUUUCUCUUAGCCUCAGUUUUCCUCAUCUGUACAACGGGGAUAAUUCCUAAAACAGACCUCAAAGAUUGUUGCGAGGAUUAAAUGAAUUCGUGCAUGUAAAGUACUUGGUCUAUAGUGAGGACUUAGUACAUGCUAGGUAAGGAGGCGGUCUUAAAAAGUGUGCUUAUUUACUUAUUUAUUUACGUGACUUAUAUAUCCUCAAGUAAUAAUUGAAAGCUUACGUCGAUACCCUCAAAGACAUCGUGGUCUCGUGGGGGAAGUGAUUUGCAAUCCAAGGCUUAGAAUAUUGUGGAGUAAGUGUGGAAGCAGAAGGCAGUAGAAGGUUGGCCUGGAAGGAGCCCUGAGCCAUCCUUUGGGGUGGGGUGAAAGGGAUCAUUCCCACAGCUGCCCCUCCAAGGGUCACUAGGCAUCCAGAACAGCGUGGUGAGGGUUUGAGAAUGCAUGGGGAUUUGGGGAAUUCUGAGUAGUUUAGCAUGGUCGAAGCUUAAAGGACAACUGGGAGAUCCUGAGCAAGAGGGUAGAGAUGUCAGCUGAGCCAGACCAGGAGGGUGUGGGCCAGCGAGGUCGGAUGGCCACCAGGAAAGUCUUAUCUAAGAAGCCAGGAGAGUCAGGAGCUUCCCCAGAGAGGGCGUGAGGGCAUUGCCGUGGGCUGCGGAGAGUUAAAGCAGAGAAGAGUUGAAAACGUGGCUCUCUCACUAGCAGAGGAGUGGCUGUUGCUUUUCUUGCUCACUUGCUUUUUAGUGCGAAUGACUCUUUAAGCUCAGACUCCUGCUAAGUGUCGAGGAGACAUUUAAAUUAAACUUAGGAGUUAUGACUAAAAGGCGAUUGAGUCCUCAGAUUAUCCAGAGAAGGCUUACAAUCUUUUCUCUCUCCUGCUUUCAGAUGAGAAUAAACCACCGGUUUCACAUGAUUUCACGGCCCGGCAGAUUAUAAUCUUCAGGAGGGAGAGGGCAAUAGAGGCUUAUUUAUCACUAUGACUUCAGAAUCCGAUCAAGAGUUUAGUUCACAGUGAUAAUUAAAAAAAAAAUUAUGGAGUGCCAGGCACUUUUCUAAGUAGUUUACAUGUGUUAAUUAAUUUAAUCCUCAUAUCUUAUGAUCUCAUCUCUUUAAAUCUUUAUCUUCUUAGGAGGCAGGGCUCUCAGCCUCCUCAUUUUCUAUAUGAAAACACUGGAGAGGCUCAGUGUCUUGUGCGAGGCCGCAGAGUGAGUGUGUUCGGAGCUUGAGCUUAGAAGGCGGUCUGAAGUGAAACCCAGCCUCUUCAUCCCGCUCGCACCUGCCUUCCUGCUGUGGCCCACUGUACAUGGGCUGGAUAAAUGGGGGAAUGAAUGAAUGAAUGAAUUGGGGAAAGAGGAUGGAUGAAUCACUUCUUUAUCCAGAUUAUUAUUCUGAGUUUUAAAAAAUGUUUCUCCUUAUUGGUGGUAGAUUCCUUUUAUUUUUCUAAGGGAAGUUUAUUCUCUUACUUCAAAGAAUAAUCCAGCUUCCAAAUUCUUGAAGUUUAAUAUGUAUUUGGGAACUUGUUUCUUGAUAGUUGGGGAAUAGCCGGCUGAACUCUCCUUCUGGUGUGGGUCAUGGAAUUUAGUAUGUUGGGGACGGUGAUCUAAAACACAAAUGUUAUCUGGAUGGUGCGAGAGUGGAACACCACUGGAACAGCGCUGGACAAGCUCUGAGCCCUUGGACCACGGCCAGCUCUGAGUGCCGUGACCUUUGGAAGCCAGGACUUAGAAGAUACCAAGAUAACUAAGGGACAAAUAAGUAGCAGGGUACCACAUAGGGGACAUUAUUCUUGUGUUUGACUUUCUUGUUAGCUGUAACUCUGUGAACUUAUGUAGCAGUUAUGCAAAAGAGGACAAUAAUUCUUACCUUUGGAGAUGAAUGUGAAAAGAAAUGUUUGCUGGGCUUCUGUGAAGAUUGCACUCCUGUAUGUUUACAAUCAGCAGAAUAACGUUGUACGAUGUAGCUAACUUUCCUACUAUAGAAAUACUUUUAAAAAGUUUAUUUAUAUCUAAGGACAUAACAAUGUCCUUGGAAAGCUCUCUCUUUCUGCUCAGGAUAAAGAAUAUGUAGAAUGUUGUUUAACUUCUAUGGUUCCAUCUUGUGAAUAGGUGAUUCUUUGAGACGUUUCUGCCUUCAUUGAGGAUGAAGGUUCUUUGCCAUUUAACAUUAGUGACCCAUGUGGAGCUGGCGUGUAUUUAUUUACAAUUUAUUAAUAUUACUUGAGAAUAGUCACACUAAAUAUGAAAGGAACAGAGUGACAGACAUGUCAGGGUAUCUUUUUUAAACUAAAUAUAAUUACAAAUAUUUUAAAAUGCUACACUAUUCUUGCAAGAUAACGUAUAUUGCAUUUUAUUUCCGAAAGCUUAGUGGGUUUGAGCAUGGAGUUUGUUUAUAGAAGGCAAAUCAAAGCAUAUUUAUAACAGUGGGUCCUAAUAGAAUAGUGAUAAGCUUAGCCAUAGUAUAAACUGCAUUAUGACCUAUGUUUCGUUAAGAGCAAUGUGAUUCUGAAAGAAAGGCCCGUGUGUGAGAAGAAGAUUGCUGUGGACCUAGAUGUACUUAGAAGAUAAUGCAGACGCUUCCUGAUUUGAGCUGCGGCUGGUCAAGCAGAUUCUUGAUCUCACCAAUGAGAAUCAAGCAGGGUUCACCUUUUAAUUUUUAAAGCACAAUUAUGAAUCCAAUUUUAUAAUAAAAAGCCCUGAAACUGGUGAAGAAAACCACUAUUCUCUGAAAGAGAGUAGAGGGCAUCUUAUAUAGUUCAUACAAGGGGCAUUUAACACUAUUGGUUCUCAUUUUCCUUUCAUUUACUUUAUUGAGAUCUUGUUGAGGUAACUUACUUCGGAGGUCCUUAUCAUUCUUGAGAGUUCUCUUUGCUUGUGUUUUUGUAGACCUAAAAUACAACCACGCUGGAAGUACACUGGAAUUAAGAAAGCCGGUGUGAGUGGAUGAGCAUGUCGUUACGUCAGGUGGAGCUAUGGGCCUGAUGGGUGGCUCGCAGUCAGCAAAAACGUUUAAGUCAAAGCGGAAGGAUUGGUGAAUUUACCUGAGAAAUUGAGACUCAAGAGUAUGAGAAUGUGUGACUAGGACCGAAAGCAGAUUUUCAGGUGGAGUCUUUGAAUUUUUUAAAAGACAAUGAUAAUCAGAUCUACUUGAAAAAUUAAGCAAAUUGAUUUGGUUGGAACACUCUUUAACCAAUACUUUAACAUUCAGCCUCUGGAUUCCUGGAAGUUGUGCAUGAGUUCCUGUGGGAAGAGUUGGCAUCGUGGAAGGCAAAGACAGUUGUUUUUUGAUAUGAGGAUAACAGCAUGGCUUGAUGAGUGGUGUAUUGGUUGCAUCCGGGAUCCGAAACUGUGAACCCUGGGCCUCCAAAGCAGAGUGCACGAACUUAACCACUGCGCCACCGGGCUGGCCCCAUCCAGUAUGUGCUUACUUAAUUUGAAGUCUGUGUUUUAAGAAAUAUUACAUAUUCUGUGUAAUCCAACAAAUGGGAAGUGACCAUAGGCCUAAUUUUUACUUGCAAGGUUUUUACUUUCCUUGAAAGUAAGGCUUUUUAAAGAACAAAGUAAAACAGUUGUUUGUAAUUCAUCACGUUCUCACAAGGUGCUGUCCUUGUUCAUACUUUAAUAUUUAAUACUUUAAUACAGAUUUUUAACAUUUUUUAAAUUAUGGAUUUCUUUGAUUCCUAGGAAAUGGCCAUUUUCUGUGCUACAACCGUGUAAAACUCAUAUAUUCUCCCAAGGCCGUGAAAAAUUCAAGCAUUGGAAAUGUUGAAAUCAAGUGAAAAUAUUUAGGAAAAUGUAUUAUUGAAGAUGUGUUAUUUUAAGUUGUGAUAAAACUUGAGACAGUGGAGCUGAGGAUAAGGGGUGCAGGGGGGAGGUGAGCCCCUUUAGAACUGAAGGUCAGCCAAAGCUGGAUUUGACUCUUGUUCCGACACGCAGCCUCCCUGAGCAUCAUCCUCGACUGUGGGACAGGUGUAUAACCCUGUUGCAUCAGGCCGUCUUGGCGCUGUCCGCCAGCGUAGCUCUAGCAGCACACGCAGGCCGCGCAGCGCACAGCAGCUGCCACCGCCCUCAUCUCCAACAGUGGACCUGCAGCUGCACGUCAGUAUCCUGAAAAAAUAUUAACUAUGAAAGGGGACCUAGAAAUCUCUCAGUUCAAACUCUGACUCCCAAUGGAGGAAAGAGACAAAAGUUUCUGUCUUGAAUUGGAAAUACACUACACUUGCAUUCUAGAGGAUGUUAUUUCUUCUCAAAGUCGGACAGAGGUUGUGUCCACAUGAACUUGAAAUAUGUAGUUAAUUAAACAGAAAAUUCAGCCAGUUUGGCUUAGAUGGUGCUAAUUCUUCUUGUGAGCAUGGUGGCUGGAGCAGACGGAAGUACAUUUGCAUUAAAGUAUGAUAGAGCCGUCACUUUUCUUUCAGUGACUUUUUGCUGCCUUACCUGUAGAGGGAUGCAUAGGGAAACCACUGUGGGGGGAAAAUUCAAAUCGAUGGUAAAACCUUUUACCCACCCCAAAGUUAGCAUGCUUGUUGUUUAGUUUUUAUGAUAACUGCAUUACAAAAUGCAGUGCUUCCUGGCUAUUAGCAGAGGGAACUUUUGAUUACAGAUAUCUUGCUACAGGUAUUUGGGGCUACUGAUGUCUCACCCCAAAGACUUAUUGUUCCUGUGGAAUUUCCAUAUUUUUUCCCCUUUCUAAAUGCACUGUCUAAAUCACAGUGGCAUUCUAUGUUAGGGAGCAAAUUAGACAUGGCAGUAAGACCAGUACUUGAGUUUUGGUUUGGGAAAUUACAGUACAUUUGCAUAGUGGAAUCUCUUUUAUUAACCAAUAUUUUAGUAAAAAGGUGAACAUGUUCAUCUUAAGAAAAAUAAACAAAAAUUAAAAGUCACUAAAAGUCAUAAGGUGGAAAAUUGAAAUCCUUCCCACCCCUUCCUCUGACUCCGUGGUUCCACUUCUGCAAUUUAAGUACUGUUAAAAAACUGUUUCGGGGGCCGGCCUGGUUGCCUAGUGGUUAAGUUCUCGUGCUCCGCUCAGGUGGCCCGGGGUUACUGGUUCGGAUCCCGGGUGCAGACCUAGCACCACUCAUCAAGCCAUGCUGUGGCAGGCGUCCCACAUAUAAAGUGGAGGAAGAUGGGCAUGGAUGUUAGCUCAGGGCCAGUCUUCCUCAGCAAAAAGAAGAGGAUUGGCGGCAGAUGUUAGCUCACGGCUAAUCUUCCUCAAAAAAAAAGCUGUCUGGGAGCCAGGCCUGAUGGCCUAGUGGUCAAAGUUCAGCACUCUCACGGCUUUGGUGGCCCGGGUUUGUUUCCCGGGUGUGGACCCACAUCACCCGUCUGUCGGUUGCCGUGCUGUGGCCGCUCUCAUAGAAGAACUAGAAGGACCUACAACUAGGAUAUACAACCAUGCCCAGGGGCUCUGGGGAGGAAGAAAAAGCUGUUUGGCAUCCUUGCAGAAAUUUUCUGUUUUUAUUGCCUGUUUCUCUUUUAUGCAAAUGGAGUUAUAAAAUACAUCCUAGGGUGAAAUAAGCUUUUUUUUUACGUUCAAUGUAAUCUCCUGGUUGAGUUUUUAUAUCAGUACUUCUGGCUGUACUUCACGUUUGUAAAUAACUGAUUUUUAUGAUUUAUAAACCAUAAUUUAUUUAAGCAAACCUUGUCCACCUACCUUUGUGCGCUUGCGCAGGUACGUCUGUUAGGGAUAAAUUUCCAGCAAUAGAAUUUCUGGGCCAAAGGGAAUACGCGUCUUACUUUGGUAAGCACUGCCACAUUGCCUAUCCAGGGGACAUCUAAGCUCUCAUCCUAGUCAAUACAGUUGAGCGUGAAGUUCUCAGAAUCCUCUGGUACUGUCUCAGCCAUUCGCUGUGGAAACUGAGUAUCCACUUCAAAUCUAAUAGUUUCUAAGUUGUCAAGUUUUCCUGAGCAGUUCACAGUGAUCUGGAGGACUCCUUUCUUUGCUGUGGUGUAAAUUCCCUAAAAAGGAAAUUUAUUCUUUUACAUGUUCAAACCCAUAGGUUCAAUUUAAGAAAACCACUAUUCUCAACUUUUUAAUAUCUAAGGAAUUAGAACCAGACUAAUUGUGACCAAAAAACUAAGAUAUUUUGAUACAAUCAUCUUAUAUCUUGGAAAAUAUUACUCUAAAGUUUUUAUAGUUUUUUCUCUUUAUUUUGGACAUGUGUCAGUAUAAGGUUUACUGCUUCCUAUAGUGUCUGCUAAAGCAGUUUCUUGCUGUUUUUUUAAGGACGCGUAGCAUUGUGAGCUUUAUAUAUAAUGAACUUUAAAUUGACAUUUGUAUACAGCAAUAUGAUUUGAUGGAACAAUUUUUCCUCACUGCAUUUAUUUUCUACCCAG
rnacentral:lncRNA from 1 species